GGAUUACAGGCAUGAGCCACUGUGCCUGGCCUAGUAUUGGUCAUUAGUAUUAGUAAUCAUUCCUAAAUGUAUAUGUAAACAUUUAUUUCAGUGUUAAAUAUUGAAGUGUUUGGUCUUUAUUUAGAAGUUUGAUGUUGUGUUUUAUGACCAGAAAUAUGCUGUGAACUUAAUUCUUUCUUAUAGCAGUUAGCCUAUGGGAAAAUUGGUUUUGUUCUACAUUAUUUUAUUUAAAGUCAUAAUUUCCAAGAUCCUAUCAACUCCAUUAAGUGAGGACUUACUGUACUGUAGCCUGAGGCUCAUCUUAGUCUUCCCUCAUCCCCCCUGCCUUUCCUUCACAGUCAGCCUGCAUGGUGGUCUGAGGCCUUCCCCCCUACAGCCUCUCCCCUUUAUCUUUCACGGUAAUCACCCCUCAUUACUCGUACUUCUAACUCCAUCUUGAAAGCUGCUUCCUGGAAGAUCCAAACGGACACAAGGAGGGACUGAAGGAUUAGAAUGAGGGAAGUAACCCAUGCACUGCUUAUUUGAGAUGGGGAACCGAAGGACUUUGGCAGUUCCUACACAGAGACAGAUGGCAGAGAUGACAAGGUUUCUCAGAGAAUGCGUGAAUGGGAAACCAAGGACACAGUCAGCAUUUAACAAAAAGGAAUCUGCAUCUCAGUCAGAACUGUAUUGCAUUUGCUUCUCUCUGGAUUACCUUGAAGUUACUCCCCUUCCCUCAAUAAUAAUGGCAUUAUGAAAAAAAUUGGAAUUGAUCAAAUGAAGUAAAGAGUAAACAGAGGAAAGACUAC
rnacentral:lncRNA from 10 species